UGGGGAAUAUUGCACAAUGGAGGGAACUCUGAUGCAGCGACGCCGCGUGAACGAAGAAGGCUUUCGAGUCGUAAAGUUCUUUUAUAUGGGAAGAUAAUGACGGUACCAUAAGAAAAAACCCCGGCUAACUACGUGCCAGCAGCCGCGGUAAUACGUAGGGGGCUAGCGUUGUCCGGAAUCACUGGGCGUAAAGGGUUCGCAGGCGGAAAUGCAGGUCAGGUGUAAAAGGCAGUAGCUUAACUACUGUAAGCAUUUGAAACUGCAUAUCUUGAGAAGAGUAGAGGUAAGUGGAAUUUUUAGUGUAGCGGUGAAAUGCGUAGAUAUUAAAAAGAAUACCGGUGGCGAAGGCGACUUACUGGGCUCAUUCUGACGCUGAGGAACGAAAGCGUGGGUAGCAAACAGG
rnacentral:rRNA from 1 species